UACGUAGGGUGCGAGCGUUGUCCGGAAUUAUUGGGCGUAAAGGGCUCGUAGGCGGUCUGUCGCGUCGGGAGUGAAAACUCAGGGCUUAACCCUGAGCCUGCUUCCGAUACGGGCAGACUAGAGGUAUGCAGGGGAGAACGGAAUUCCUGGUGUAGCGGUGGAAUGCGCAGAUAUCAGGAGGAACACCGGUGGCGAAGGCGGUUCUCUGGGCAUUGCCUGACGCUGAGGAGCGAAAGUGUGGGGAGCGAACAGG
rnacentral:rRNA from 1 species